CCUACGGGUGGCUGCAGUGGGGAAUAUUGCACAAUGGGCGAAAGCCUGAUGCAGCAACGCCGCGUGAGCGAUGAAGGCCUUCGGGUUGUAAAGCUCUGUCUUCGCUGACGAAACCUGACGGUAAGCGAGGAGGAAGCCACGGCUAACUACGUGCCAGCAGCCGCGGUAAUACGUAGGUGGCAAGCGUUGUCCGGAAUUAUUGGGCGUAAAGGAUGCGUAGGCGGCCCUUUAAGUGGGGUGUGAAAUCCCUGGGCCCAACCCAGGAAUUGCACUCCAAACUGGAGGGCUAGAGUGGGGGAGGGGAAAAGGGUAUCCCCAGUGAAGGGGUGAAAGGCGAAGAGAUUGGGAGGAACACCAGUAGAGAAGGCGAUUUUCUGGAAGGAAACUGACGCUGAGGAAUGAAAGCGUGGGGAGAAAAAAGGAUUAGAUACCCUGGUAGUC
rnacentral:rRNA from 1 species